rnacentral:rRNA from 1 species
GCACGGGUGCUUGCACCUGGUGGCGAGUGGCGAACGGGUGAGUAAUACAUCGGAACAUGUCCUGUAGUGGGGGAUAGCCCGGCGAAAGCCGGAUUAAUACCGCAUACGAUCUACGGAUGAAAGCGGGGGACCUUCGGGCCUCGCGCUAUAGGGUUGGCCGAUGGCUGAUUAGCUAGUUGGUGGGGUAAAGGCCUACCAAGGCGACGAUCAGUAGCUGGUCUGAGAGGACGACCAGCCACACUGGGACUGAGACACGGCCCAGACUCCUACGGGAGGCAGCAGUGGGGAAUUUUGGACAAUGGGCGAAAGCCUGAUCCAGCAAUGCCGCGUGUGUGAAGAAGGCCUUCGGGUUGUAAAGCACUUUUGUCCGGAAAGAAAUCCUUGGCUCUAAUACAGUCGGGGGAUGACGGUACCGGAAGAAUAAGCACCGGCUAACUACGUGCCAGCAGCCGCGGUAAUACGUAGGGUGCGAGCGUUAAUCGGAAUUACUGGGCGUAAAGCGUGCGCAGGCGGUUUGCUAAGACCGAUGUGAAAUCCCCGGGCUCAACCUGGGAACUGCAUUGGUGACUGGCAGGCUAGAGUAUGGCAGAGGGGGGUAGAAUUCCACGUGUAGCAGUGAAAUGCGUAGAGAUGUGGAGGAAUACCGAUGGCGAAGGCAGCCCCCUGGGCCAAUACUGACGCUCAUGCACGAAAGCGUGGGGGAGCAAACAGGAUUAGAUACCCUGGUAGUCCACGCCCUAAACGAUGUCAACUAGUUGUUGGGGAUUCAUUUCCUUAGUAACGUAGCUAACGCGUGAAGUUGACCGCCUGGGGAGUACGGUCGCAAGAUUAAAACUCAAAGGAAUUGACGGGGACCCGCACAAGCGGUGGAUGAUGUGGAUUAAUUCGAUGCAACGCGAAAAACCUUACCUACCCUUGACAUGGUCGGAAUCCCGCUGAGAGGUGGGAGUGCUCGAAAGAGAACCGGCGCACAGGUGCUGCAUGGCUGUCGUCAGCUCGUGUCGUGAGAUGUUGGGUUAAGUCCCGCAACGAGCGCAACCCUUGUCCUUAGUUGCUACGCAAGAGCACUCUAAGGAGACUGCCGGUGACAAACCGGAGGAAGGUGGGGAUGACGUCAAGUCCUCAUGGCCCUUAUGGGUAGGGCUUCACACGUCAUACAAUGGUCGGAACAGAGGGUUGCCAACCCGCGAGGGGGAGCUAAUCCCAGAAAACCGAUCGUAGUCCGGAUUGCACUCUGCAACUCGAGUGCAUGAAGCUGGAAUCGCUAGUAAUCGCGGAUCAGCAUGCCGC